GCCCACUCCCUGAAGAGGCCGGUGAUGUUUCCUUUGACGAGCCUGCUGUUAUCUACACUCGUUCCCACUCUUUGGUUGGCCCGUCUUCGAUCGGUAGCCACUCUUUUAAGCUGAGCAAGCUUACCUUACGAGAGACUGAGGACUCAGUUGACUUGGUGGAGUGUCUUGAAAAUGAAUUUUCUGGUGGUGACGAAGUUGACAGUGAGAGAUCUCCAGAGGGGGAGCUGGUGGUGAAGGUCCCUGGCGUGGUGGGACUUGAUGAUUUUGAGGUUAUGAAGGUUGUAGUGAAAGGUGCGUUUGGGAAAGUCUAUCAGGUGAAAAAGAAGGAGACGUCUGAGAUAUUCGCCAUGAAGGUCAUGAGAAAAGAUAAGAUCAUGGAGAAGAACCAUGCUGAGUACAUGAAAGCUGAGCGCGAUAUUUUAACCAAGAUUGAUCAUCCCUUCAUUGUUCAACUUAAAUACUCUUUUCAGGUACUAAUCAUCACUCUGCAACUUACUAGUUUUACUUCAUCAAUGAUUAACUCAGAGCUUAUACAUAUCCUUGUUUGUGUGCAGACUAAGUACAGGCUGUAUCUUGUGCUCGACUUUAUAAACGGAGGUCAUCUUUUCUUCCAGCUCUAUCAUCAAGGACUGUUCAGGUUUGGCUUCAUUCCUAUUUUCACUUAGUUUUGGAGUUUCACCAAAGCUAUGCAAGGCUUGACUAGUUCUAUGGUUUUUUUCACAGGGAGGAAUUGGCUCGUGUGUACACUGCAGAGAUCAUCUCUGCAGUUUCUCAUCUCCACGAGAAAGGGAUAAUGCAUAGGGAUCUCAAACCUGAAAACAUUCUCAUGGACGUUGAUGGCCAUGUGAUGCUAACUGAUUUUGGUUUAGCAAAGGAGUUUGAAGAGAACACAAGAUCAAACUCCAUGUGUGGAACUACUGAGUAUAUGGCACCUGAAAUUGUUAAAGGAAAAGGUCAUGAUAAGGCUGCUGAUUGGUGGAGGCACGAAACAUUAUACGUUCAGGUCAUAGUUUAUCUCUAGAUCUCGAUUUGCUUGAAAUUUGUAACGACUAGAUCUGAUUUUAUCUAAAUUUCAGCUCCUUUUCUUCAAAGGUUACGUUUUUACUGGGGAAAGUCUGAGUCUUUGAAGCUGUGUAGAUUUUAAAUUCAUUCUGAAUCCGCAAAUUGUAUAGCUUUCGGGGUUUAGUGGGACUUGCUUUCAUAAUGCUGUACUUCAGAUUUGAUCUGUUUAUGUUUUAGCCUCUAAAUUUGUGAAUGUUCACUGUACCUGCAGAGCUUAUAAAACCUUCAUGGCAUUUGCGCACUUCUGCAGCAUCGAAUGUUUCCUUAAAGUCGGGAAACAAGAAGCGCUUUUUCUCCUUGUUAUUGGUUUGCCUAUUGCCACCACUCGUUCUAGUCAGUUUUCUCCGCAUUAACCCACCCUCGGUACAUCAUCUCUCUCUCACCACUCUGGUGAACUCUUCUUGAAGCUUUCUCUGUGGUUCUGCAUCGGUUCUUUUAUAGUUGUAAGUUAUGGUUUCAUCUCACCGUCCUGUCCCCAACAAAACCCGCAAACAGCAGUAUCUAUCUCUCAGCCCUUCGGAUUCUGUCUUGAAAGAUGAUGAUGUUGAGCUCGAUUUCUCUGAUGUCUUUGGCCCACUCCCUGAAGAGGCCGGUGAUGUUUCCUUUGACGAGCCUGCUGUUAUCUACACUCGUUCCCACUCUUUGGUUGGCCCGUCUUCGAUCGGUAGCCACUCUUUUAAGCUGAGCAAGCUUACCUUACGAGAGACUGAGGACUCAGUUGACUUGGUGGAGUGUCUUGAAAAUGAAUUUUCUGGUGGUGACGAAGUUGACAGUGAGAGAUCUCCAGAGGGGGAGCUGGUGGUGAAGGUCCCUGGCGUGGUGGGACUUGAUGAUUUUG
rnacentral:lncRNA from 1 species